rnacentral:lncRNA from 1 species
UAAUUCUUGAAGCCUUACCGUGCCUGAAAUAUUGGCCCACUUAGUAGUUAAGUCAGACCUACCAUUUUCGUGAAAUGGAGUCAUCAUUGGGACCCUCAUCGUAUUUGAAAUAUUGAACCCAACCCUAUCUCCACCCCACGGCAUCUCAUGCCAAUAGUAUGGUUACAUUUUCUCAGUGCAACUGAACCACUGUGACUAGUCGAGAAUAAUCAACCCCGAGAAGGAUCCACACAACUACGACGGUGGAAGACC